AUCAGCUACACUGCAUACAGAACGAGAUAAGAGCUUGUUACGUGCACUGGGCCCUGGGAUCCUAGAAGUGGCUGGAUGCUUGCCCAUCAAAGAGAAGUGGCAAAUGUUUCCCUUGGCUUGCAGGCGUGGGUUUUCUUUUACCUAGUAAACGGUCUUUGCCUAAACCCGUGUGUGCUCCCAGUUUCAUCCUUCCCAUACUUUCCCCACCGCAGCUGGGGAGACUGUGUGGUGUUCAGUUUUCUGCCAGGUUAAGCAGCAACAAGUACACAUAACAGGCACACAGGCAGCUAGGUCGAGCAGUUAAACGUAUGCCUGUAUUCUCAAAGGGGUAGAUGUGAAAUGGGCUGGGCGUUCCUUCCUGCCAGCUAACAAAAUAAAGAAUUUGACUUUCAGGGGGAAUAGAAACGGUCCAAUGUAAGCACAAGACCAUGUCAGCGACCUGCCCUUUCCCAGUCUGCAGAAAAGACACUGGCACAUCAGCGGUGGGGGAGCUUCAAGAGGGUGGAGGCUUGGCAAAAAACCGAGCCGGUGCGGAAAACCACUCCUCAAAAGCCAUGCCUAGCAUCUUCCCACAUGCCCCCAAUUCUAGAUUUGGGCUCGCUCAGCUACGCGUGAUGCACAGCAGAGCACCUCCAGCCGCUCGGCCGGAGAGCCGCCAGGCAGCACGGCCGGCGCCUGUAGCUGCUCAGAACAGCGGUUCCUCCAGCCUGCCGUUCUUCCCGGCUACCAGCUGGAGGCGCUGGGUGGAGUGCGUGCCAGGGCAGGGAUAGAGCUGCGGGUGAAGGGGAGGACCCAGAGCUACUGGGCCCGCCCGCCGGUAGGAUGGGACAGGACAGAAAAUCCCUCCCACCUACCUACACAGGGAGGCGCCAUUUUGUUCCAGUCUGCAUCCCAGGGUGAGGAGCCGCCAUUUCAUGAGCCGGCGGAGGCACCAUUUUGUUCCAGCUUGAAUUCCACAGACGGGAGCCACCAUUUUGUGACACUUUGCCAGCCACGUGUUUCCGUGCUGCUCGGAGAUUGGCCUCUCUUCUAAUGGCAGCCGCCUUCUCAGGAUUCCCUCUAAUUGGCUGCCCAACUCCUCUGGCCCACAAAGUGCUCUGAUGUUAAAAUACGUUUGUUUUGAUACAAUCGUCCCGGCUGAAGGGGGGCAGGGGCCCAGGUGCUGGCACUGUGGCUUGCCGGCUGCCUCUGAGGAGAAGGCAGGAAUACCCCGUGUGAAAACCAGCCGUUUCCACCCAGCUCCAGCGGCACUGCCACAAGGCACAACUGAGCCCUGCAUGCAAGGUGGAGGCGUCCUGGGCAAAACGUGCCUGGGAAAGGGCGAGACGGGGCAGGAUGCUGCCCAGCAGUGGGGAAAGAGGGUGGAAAAGCGUGAGAAACAGCCGCGUGAAUGCCGAGGAGAGAUGCUGAGGAGCGUGCGGUGGAGAGGGAGGAGGAGAAGGAGGCGGAGCGUGAGGAGGAGGAGGUGGCGCCCGAGCAAAGAGUGGAGACAAAGCAUGGGCAGGAGGAGAAAAAGAAGGAGGUGCUCCAAGCACUAGGACACAGACUCUCCCGCAGCCCCUGCUGGAGGCGGCGGGCACGUCGCUAUACCCCAAGGGAUGCUGCAGCCUGCUCAGAGCCCACUCAGGUACAAGGGAGAAGCGUGAGGAGGAAGGAAGGAGUGGCAGAGCAGAGCUGUGGAGGGACUGACCGCUGCCGGCCCCGACCCCUGCACCUCUCGUGCUGCGGGGAGGUCAGGACUCACGCGUGAAGGAGGGCGUUUGAGCUCAGGGAAGAACUUCAGGCGGGUCAGGUGCUUUUGUUUCUCACCAUCCAAAUGCUCCAAAAUGUCCAACGUCCAAAAAUGUGCGGUGACAUCAAGCAGCUUCCCCCACGUCUGUUCUGCUCCGCCUCUGGUGAGCGGGCUCCCUAGCCUUAUCUUGACCCACGAGAAUUCCCGUCCUGUACCCUACUCCGUCCCGUUCAGGACACUGAGUGAGACAGUAGCUGGGUGCGCAUUGGGCUGCUGGCCGAGGCCAGCCCACCUCAGCAAUCUCUACAAUAUACUCAGGUCCAGAAUUAUAGAAAGGACUUGAUCAAUGUAAUUGAAAAUAUUUUCUCCAUUGCUACGUAGCUACACUAGAUGCCGGACUACCCUCUGUACGUACUGCUAUACUACACUCGGCAGUUGUCUGGGAUACUGCUCCUUUUCCUCGGACCGCCUCGUACAGUUUGACGGGCUCUUUUGCAUUGCUUGACCAAAAUGGUGGUGCUAACACAUCCAUGCUGCAGUUGCUGCUCUUGUUGCAGAGCAGCGCCCACACAGAGCCCAGGACUUUUCUGCUUCUUACGGCACCCUGCCCGCAAGGAGGCUGGGAGUGCACCAGAAGAUGGCACGGGACACAGAUCGGACAGCACCAGGCUGCUGGCCAACGUCAGCCUGACACAGCUAUAUAUACAAAUUACACAUACAUUGAAACGCACAAAGAACUUCAUAAAGGGGGAAUAGAAACGGUCCAAUGUAAGCACAAGACCAUGUCAGCGACCUGCCCUUUCCCAGUCUGCAGAAAAGACACUGGCACAUCAGCGGUGGGGGAGCUUCAAGAGGGUGGAGGCUUGGCAAAAAACCGAGCCGGUGCGGAAAACCACUCCUCAAAAGCCAUGCCUAGCAUCUUCCCACAUGCCCCCAAUUCUAGAUUUGGGCUCGCUCAGCUACGCGUGAUGCACAGCAGAGCACCUCCAGCCGCUCGGCCGGAGAGCCGCCAGGCAGCACGGCCGGCGCCUGUAGCUGCUCAGAACAGCGGUUCCUCCAGCCUGCCGUUCUUCCCGGCUACCAGCUGGAGGCGCUGGGUGGAGUGCGUGCCAGGGCAGGGAUAGAGCUGCGGGUGAAGGGGAGGACCCAGAGCUACUGGGCCCGCCCGCCGGUAGGAUGGGACAGGACAGAAAAUCCCUCCCACCUACCUACACAGGGAGGCGCCAUUUUGUUCCAGUCUGCAUCCCAGGGUGAGGAGCCGCCAUUUCAUGAGCCGGCGGAGGCACCAUUUUGUUCCAGCUUGAAUUCCACAGACGGGAGCCACCAUUUUGUGACACUUUGCCAGCCACGUGUUUCCGUGCUGCUCGGAGAUUGGCCUCUCUUCUAAUGGCAGCCGCCUUCUCAGGAUUCCCUCUAAUUGGCUGCCCAACUCCUCUGGCCCACAAAGUGCUCUGAUGUUAAAAUACGUUUGUUUUGAUACAAUCGUCCCGGCUGAAGGGGGGCAGGGGCCCAGGUGCUGGCACUGUGGCUUGCCGGCUGCCUCUGAGGAGAAGGCAGGAAUACCCCGUGUGAAAACCAGCCGUUUCCACCCAGCUCCAGCGGCACUGCCACAAGGCACAACUGAGCCCUGCAUGCAAGGUGGAGGCGUCCUGGGCAAAACGUGCCUGGGAAAGGGCGAGACGGGGCAGGAUGCUGCCCAGCAGUGGGGAAAGAGGGUGGAAAAGCGUGAGAAACAGCCGCGUGAAUGCCGAGGAGAGAUGCUGAGGAGCGUGCGGUGGAGAGGGAGGAGGAGAAGAAGGCGGAGCGUGAGGAGGAGGAGGUGGCGCCCGAGCAAAGAGUGGAGACAAAGCAUGGGCAGGAGGAGAAAAAGAAGGAGGUGCUCCAAGCACUAGGACACAGACUCUCCCGCAGCCCCUGCUGGAGGCGGCGGGCACGUCGCUAUACCCCAAGGGAUGCUGCAGCCUGCUCAGAGCCCACUCAGGUACAAGGGAGAAGCGUGAGGAGGAAGGAAGGAGUGGCAGAGCAGAGCUGUGGAGGGACUGACCGCUGCCGGCCCCGACCCCUGCACCUCUCGUGCUGCGGGGAGGUCAGGACUCACGCGUGAAGGAGGGCGUUUGAGCUCAGGGAAGAACUUCAGGCGGGUCAGGUGCUUUUGUUUCUCACCAUCCAAAUGCUCCAAAAUGUCCAACGUCCAAAAAUGUGCGGUGACAUCAAGCAGCUUCCCCCACGUCUGUUCUGCUCCGCCUCUGGUGAGCGGGCUCCCUAGCCUUAUCUUGACCCACGAGAAUUCCCGUCCUGUACCCUACUCCGUCCCGUUCAGGACACUGAGUGAGACAGUAGCUGGGUGCGCAUUGGGCUGCUGGCCGAGGCCAGCCCACCUCAGCAAUCUCUACAAUAUACUCAGGUCCAGAAUUAUAGAAAGGACUUGAUCAAUGUAAUUGAAAAUAUUUUCUCCAUUGCUACGUAGCUACACUAGAUGCCGGACUACCCUCUGUACGUACUGCUAUACUACACUCGGCAGUUGUCUGGGAUACUGCUCCUUUUCCUCGGACCGCCUCGUACAGUUUGACGGGCUCUUUUGCAUUGCUUGACCAAAAUGGUGGUGCUAACACAUCCAUGCUGCAGUUGCUGCUCUUGUUGCAGAGCAGCGCCCACACAGAGCCCAGGACUUUUCUGCUUCUUACGGCACCCUGCCCGCAAGGAGGCUGGGAGUGCACCAGAAGAUGGCACGGGACACAGAUCGGACAGCACCAGGCUGCUGGCCAACGUCAGCCUGACACAGCUAUAUAUACAAAUUACACAUACAUUGAAACGCACAAAGAACUUCAUAAAGAGCCUGGAAGAUGAAUCAAAGUGGGAAGAUUUUCUUAAGAAGCACACUGCACAGCUGCGGGACAUCAAGUAGCUCACAAGCUUGGACAUCUUCCGAAAGUCCAGUUGCAGCUACACAGAAAUCCUCUCCCUAAAGACAUACCUGCAUAUAUUUGAAAGUGAAAUUUUGCUUUCUAACCUUGCACAGUGCACUCUUUUAUCAACUUUUAUCAACAAUUUUUAUACUGUUUUAUAUUUAUUAAUUUGAAACUGGGACAUUAAAAAUAUUAGUAUAUUAAUCUUGUAUCAAAUCUUAAAAAUUAAACCCUUGUAUCAUUUGUUUUGUUUCUCUUAUGUUUAAUAUAGGUAUGUCUCUUGGUUUAUUUAGUAGCACUUGUAAUACUGCAGCUUAAAUUCUUAUUCCAAGCUUUUAUCUGGUGCUGCAGAAUUUGAUAUGUAAGUCAAGGAAAUAUUAAUUUCCCAUGUGCCUUUAUUACACUUUUAGUUCUCUACUGUGUAUCAAAAUGCUGAAUAUGUAAAAUUAUAUUCAUUUACUCUUGACUAUGUGACAGACAUUUAAACACUAUAGGCAAAUAACAUUUUAAAUAUAAUUAACCACACAUUCAGUUUUUUUAAUGCCUUUUGGUUUCCUUUCACAGGGACUUUCAGAGGAACUUGAUAGCAGCUGAAUGCUGCUACAUCUUUCAUAUUCAUCCUUCUCAAGAGCUUAGGUUCUCUGGUAAGAUGGAUGAUGGGCUCAGAUAUCCUGCCCUAGGUCUUAGCAGUGAGAUCACAGUAGUAACUGCUGGUUAGGUUCUGAUGCUGUAGCAGAGUUGGGAGAGGAGAUAGGCUGGUAUCAUACAUUCACCAGGACUACCCCUCACUUUGGGCCAAAUGGCCCUGCUCUGGAGCAUGUGGGGAGGAUGUGAGCUGAUAGUAUCAGCUGUAACCUAUAAGGUUACCAUAUUGUGCAUGUGAUUUACAAACACCAGUUGGUCAAGCAGGCCAAAUCUCCGUUGGCAACCUCUGUGCAGUCACUGUCAUAAUCCUGACAGGCCCCUCCUCAUGACACUGAUGGCACAAUUCCAAAGCAGUGGAAGAAACAGUUCUCCUAAGUAAAAUUUAUCUGCCACAAUUUCUGCAACUUACAUCCUUGUAGCAUCCAUCUAAGAGACAGUGGUAAACUGGAAUUAAGUAUGUUAACACUGAUGAUCAUCAUAUUGACUUGAUUCCUCUUACCAUUAGACAGUUUUACUAUUCCAGGUGCCAAAUUCUGUUUAGAAGUGUACAAAACAUGAAAAGCUUUAAAAUUCCCCCAAAAUGUUAGAAUUGAAAUUCUGAUAUGAAGCAUUGGGAAAUAUCUUAACCUUACAACUUAAAAGUCUCUUGUGGUUGUCUGGUAGCACAGAAAUUUUUUCCCAUAAGCUUUUGGCAAAGUUUUCUGCCAUAAUUUUUAUUCCUAUGUCUGAUACAGAGUAUUUUCUCUGGAUUAUGAGCUAUGAGCUAUGCUAGAAUCUCAACUAUGACUAUCUCUCCCUUGCUUUCUCCAAAAAUUCCUUCACUGUAUUUCCUAACUCUUUUUUAUCGCCCAUCUUCUUGUCCCACUUCCCUAAACAACUAGGAUUUGUAAUAAACUCUUCAGGCUGACAUUUGACCCAUUGUGUCUUAUCCUCUCCAUUGUGUGUAUACAUAUAUAUAUAUAAUAAUCUCCACUCUCUCCUGUAAUUGGAGCAAGGCAACUUCCCAGUUGACUAGGACUCUCCAUAUUCCCAAGAUUAUUCAUAACUGUGAGUGUUCUCACAGUAACAUAGACCGGCACUUUCAGUACUCUGGGACAUACCUCAUCAGGCCCCAUAGACUUACAUGCAUUCAACUGAAGCAGGAAAUCCUGAACAAGCUCAGCUUCAGCUAGAAGCUUAUUUCUCACCCAAACAUGGUAUUCCAGCCCAGGGCUCCAUUAAACCAAAAGAAGGCAUUAAACAUUUCAGCUUUAUUUUCACCCCUUUUUGUGAGGUGACCUUAUGAAUUAACUUAACAGUUUUCUAUAUUCUUCCUCUGGCUGUUAAACAUACUUUAAAAAGUCUUUCUUGUUCAUCAACACUGCACUGGCCAACUUCAACUACAACUGAGCGUUAACUGUAUUCAUUUUCUCCCUGCAAUAGCAAACAGCAUCUCUAUAGUCCUCCUGUCUACCCAGGCCUUGCUUCGAGGGUUCAUACAUUUUUUUUCCCUUACGAAAGUUCAAGAGAAGUUUGUCAUCACCCAGACAACCUUCUGUCCCACUUACUCCACUUCUGACAUACCGGAACUGUCCAUGCUUGCUCGUGCUUUCAUAAAAGAAGGUUCUUAAAAAAUGAGCAAUAUUUAUGAACCCCACUGCCUUCAAAAGUGAAUUUGCAGGAAACCUUACUGUUUCCGUGAGCAAUUCUUCUUUCCUAAAAUCUCAGGAAGCUGAUAGUUUUUUGCAAAUCAGCAAGGAUUUAAAACUUAAAGAUUUCAUGGUCACUUUUCCCAUGACAGCCACUAAACACUUCAACUACAAGACUUCUCUAUUUAUAAAUAUAUAUAUAUAUAUUAAAAAAAAAAAAAAAAAAAAA